rnacentral:rRNA from 1 species
UACAGAGGGUGCGAGCGUUUGUUCGGAAUUAUUGGGCGUAAAGCGCUUGUAGGCGGCCUGUCAAGUCGCGUGUGAAAUCCCCUGGCUUAACCAGGGAAGUGCGCGCGAAACUGGCGGGCUUGAGUGCCGGAGAGGGUCGCGGAAUUCCCGGUGUAGAGGUGAAAUUCGUAGAUAUCGGGAGGAACACCAGUGGCGGAAGGCGGGGUCUCUGGGCCGAUACUGACGCUGAGGAGCGAAAGCGUGGGGAGCGAACAGG